UCCAGUGUCUAAUAUAAGCAACUAUUGCAGUCAUUUCAUUUGUUGAGACAUAUGCCAAGUACUGUACCUGCCACAGUUUUCAUCUUAGGAGCGCUUAUUCCUGAGGUCAUCUCAUUUUCUCCACACAACCGGAGUCAGCUGUGAUAUGAGUAUCCCACUUCUCUAGGUUCAUCUGACCCCAUUCAUUUUUAGUAAUGUGGCAGCUUUUAGAAAACAGAAACCAGGUAUCCUGCAUUUCUCUAAAUUCCCAGGACUCCUGUGAAAGAUCUGAGACAGAGCAGGAGAGUACAGGUUUUAUCCCUUGAAUUGAGGAGAAAUCCAAUCUGGAGGCUUCAUGUUCAUUAAAAAGGCCGACCGCAUUGCUUGGAAGUGUCAGAUGCUGGCCUGCCCAAAUUCCAGCGGGGAUAAUUGCAUUCUGACAAUUUCAAGAUCCCCUGUACUCUUCAGUUGGAUAAGACACAGGGGAACUAAUGUGCCAUGACCUGCCCUCAUAUUCAGUUCCAGCAAGACACCUCUGUAAAAUCAUUUGUUUAAUAUUAAGGAGGUAAUUUAACCCAU